rnacentral:lncRNA from 1 species
UAUGAAUGAGAAUGUGGGGAAAGUUACAAACAAAUAAUAUCAUCUUUGUAUAUUAGGAGACAUUAGACCCAAAAGGCUCUGGCACUAAGGGACCUUGUCUUGUAAGCUUGGGAACAACAGUGUUGAAGGGAGAAAAAGAAGCGAUGAAGCAAACACCAAUCAAGAAUGGGCAAAGUGACUCCAAUGUUUUUCAGAAAGUCCUGGAUUGGGAAGUAUAAUGGCAUAAUUCAAAGAGUACCAGAUUGAAUCCUUAUUGAAGCCACUGAGGACGAAAAGUAGGGAUGAAACACACCUCGAGAACUAAAGUUAAACUGUUGAGGACUGCAACACAGGCCUCCCCCAAUUCCUAUAUCCACUUAAUUCCUAUGGUCUUGGCAGAUGCAACUUCCACCAGCCACACUACCACCAAGCCAAGCUCGGAAGCAAAGAAUCCUUUAGCUCUGGUUAUUUAGUCAUCAUGAGAGUCCUGGAACUUUAAGCUACUUUGGGGCACAAAGAUAAUCAACCCUACGAUGUGAAAACACUACAUGGGAAGAUCUCCAGGUGGCAGCCCCGCAGAUCUGCACAGAUGCCUAUUUUCCUUGUGCCCAGGAGACAGAUGGUCCUCAGAGAGGGGUAGAGAGCUUAAUCCAUCAGAGUGAAGCCUGUGUGCUGGACUAAUUUUGGAAAUAUGUCCCUGAUCCAUCUGAGCAAUGAGGAUUCCUUAGGAUUACCUUUGCUAUUCAAGGGUUCAAAAUAAACAGAAUCACCAGCCUUAUCCUGGCAACCAGAAAGAAGUAAGAAAAGAAAGUUAUGAAGAGAAAGAGGAUAAGAGACAACUUAGAGAGUUAAAGGUGGAUGGAGGAAUCCGAAUUUACUUAUUCUUUCCUCAUACAUCAGAAACCCUAAAAAUCCAAUUUUUAUCAGUUCUGAAGUUUCUACUAAUAGAAACCUCUGGUGGCAACCCAGCUUCUAUUUCAAAGCAAAUAAAAAGUCAUUGGGGAAAGGAAUCUUUUUUUGUUUCUUCUUCUAGAUUUUCCUCCUCAAAACAUUUGAUGUACUCAGAGGUAGGCCAGAGAGUUAGGGU